UAUUACUAGUGAAACUCUGAAACCUUUAAUUUCGAGAUUCCUCUCAAUUGAAUCAGUAUGAAAAAAAAAUCGAUUUAGAAAUUAAUGUAAGGGGAAAUCUUCUUGGGUUUAAAUCAGCUACAAUCGAUUUAGAACAGUCUUUUAGAAGAUUUCUCUGUACAUUUUUUCAAUUUUUCGUGAUGUUAGUUUGCUACAAUCUAGGGAUUUAUCUGUAUUUUGUUUGUUUGUUUUUUUUUUUUCAAUUUGGGAUUUAGGGGUUUCCUGAUGAGGAUGAUGUAAAAUUCAUUAGAAGUUCAAUUUGUAGAAACUUCAAGGGAUUAUGAUUGAGUCAAGAUGGAAGUUAUAUCAUGAAGAAAAAAAAGUAAAAAAUCUUGCCGGUGCAGAAGUUAAUUAAGAUCGAAACAACGAUUUCGAUUAUUCCAACUUCCGCAUCUGAAAUUCAAGUGUUGCUUUCAGAAACAAUCUAAUGAAAAGAUGAGGUAAU